GAUACCCCUGUAGUCCUGGCCGUAAACGAUGAACACUAGGUGUCGGGGGAAUCGACCCCCUCGGUGUCGUAGCCAACGCGUUAAGUGUUCCGCCUGGGGAGUACGCACGCAAGUGUGAAACUCAAAGGAAUUGACGGGGGCCCGCACAAGCGGUGGAGUAUGUGGUUUAAUUCGAUGCAACGCGAAGAACCUUACCAGGGUUUGACAUCCUGCGAAUCCCUUGGAAGCGAGGGAGUGCCUUCGGGAACGCAGUGACAGGUGGUGCAUGGCUAUCGUCAGCUCGUGUCGUGAGAUGUUGGGUUAAGUCCCGCAACGAGCGCAACCCACGUCUUUAGUUGCCAGCAUUUAGUUGGGCACUCUAGAGAGACUGCCGGUGAUAAACCGGAGGAAGGUGUGGAUGACGUCAAGUCAUCAUGCCCCUUACAUCCUGGGCUACACACGUACUACAAUGCUACGGACAAAGGGCAGCAAACUCGCGAGAGCUAGCCAAUCCCAUAAACCGUGGCUCAGUUCAGAUCGUAGGCUGCAACUCGCCUACGUGAAGGAGGAAUCGCUAGUAAUCGCAGGUCAGCAUACUGCGGUGAAUACGUUCCCGGGCCUUGUACACACCGCCCGUCACACCAUGGAAGUUGGCCACGCCCGAAGUCGUUACUCCAACCCUUGUGGAGGAGGAUGCCGAAGGUGGGGCUGAUGACUGGGGUGAAGUCGUAACAAGGUAGCCGUACCGGAAGGUGC
rnacentral:rRNA from 1 species